CUUGGAAAUCACAUCAAGGCUUUGAAAGAGAUGGUGGUUUUCCCACUUUAAAAUCCAACCUCCAAGAGACUGUCUCUUCUAUGUUUAUGGCGCAGGCGCUGGCCAGCUUAUGGACUGGAUGUGGGCAGGGCUGGAUGCUGGAACACGUGUUGUGGGAAGAAAAUAGAAGUGCAGGGACCUGGUUUUCAGGAUUAAUUUUCCCUCAAAAUGUUUGCAUUGUUAUAGAAACAAUAGGGCUUUUUUAAGAUUCAUUGUUUCCAUGUAUUAUUUUCUAUUCCUUUUUUGUUCCUGUUUAACAAUCUUCCAAAGCUCAUCUAUUUGCAUAUACUUCGCCAGCACAGCAGUAAGAACAUUCAGACCGCUAGAAAAUGUUGUGUAUUUAAACAUGUAUACUUAAAAUAGUGCCAGAGUUAUGUCAUCCCUUUCAGCCAUGAUAAAAAAAUAAAACCAUCAUCCAUUAUGGUUCCA
rnacentral:lncRNA from 1 species